UACGGAGGGUGCAAACGUUGCUCGGAAUCAUUGGGCGUAAAGCGCACGUAGGCGGUCUGUUAAGUCGGAUGUGAAAGCCCUCGGCUCAACCGAGGAAGUGCAUACGAAACUGGCGGACUUGAAUAUGGAAGAGGGUCGCGGAAUUCCCGGUGUAGAGGUGAAAUUCGUAGAUAUCGGGAGGAACACCAGUGGCGAAGGCGGCGACCUGGGCCAAUAUUGACGCUGAGAUGCGAAAGCGUGGGGAGCAAACAGG
rnacentral:rRNA from 1 species